rnacentral:rRNA from 1 species
GACGAACGCUGGCGGCGUGCUUCACACAUGCAAGUCGAACGAAGUGGCGAACGGGUGAGUAACGCGUAAUCAACCUGCCCUUCAGAGGGGGACAACAGUUGGAAACGACUGCUACUACAGCAUACUGACGGAGGGGAUUGCGUCUGAUUAGCUAGUUGGAGGGGUAACGGCCCAGAAAGGCGAUGAUCAGUAGGCGGUCUCGGAUUAUGAACGGCAACAUUGGGCCUUGGCCACGUCCCAGACCCCUACGUUAGGCAGCAGUGGGGAUUAUUGCACAAUGGGCACAAGCCUGAUGCAGCCAUGCCGCGUGUAUGAAGAAGGUUUUCGGAUCGUAAAACUCUGUUGUUAGAGAAGCGGUAUCUAACCAGAAAGCCACGGCUAACUCCGUGCCAGCAGCCGCGGUAAUAC